UACGUAGGGACCAAGCGUUUGUCCGGAAUCAUUGGGCGUAAAGAGCGUGUAGGCGGCUUGUUAAGUCUUGCGUGAAAUCUCGGGGCUCAACCCCGAGCGGUCGUGAGAAACUGGCAGGCUAGAGUGCGGGAGAGGAGAGUGGAAUUCCUGGUGUAGCGGUGAAAUGCGCAGAUAUCAGGAAGAACACCCGUGGCGAAGGCGGCUCCUCUG
rnacentral:rRNA from 1 species